rnacentral:rRNA from 1 species
GACGAACGCUGGCGGCGUGCCUAAUACAUGCAAGUAGAACGCUGAAGGAGGAGCUUGCUUCUCUGGAUUAGUUGCGAACGGGUGAGUAACGCGUAGGUAACCUGCCUGGUAGCGGGGGAUAACUAUUGGAAACGAUAGCUAAUACCGCAUAAUAGUAGAUGUUGCAUGACAUUUUCUUAAAAGGUGCAAUUGCAUCACUACCAGAUGGACCUGCGUUGUAUUAGCUAGUUGGUGAGGUAACGGCUCACCAAGGCAACGAUACAUAGCCGACCUGAGAGGGUACUCGGCAACAAUGGGACGGGGACACGGCCCAGACCCCUGCGGGAGGCAGCAGUAGGGAAUCUUCGGCAAUGGACGGAAGUCUUACCGAGAAACGCCGCAGGAGUGAAGAAGGUUUUCGGAUCGUAAAGCUCUGUUGUAAGAGAAGAACGAGUGUGAGAGUGGAAAGUUCACACUGUGACGGUAUCUGACCAGAAAGGGACGGCUAACUACGUG